GGGUUUUGGCGGCUUCCCGAGUUCCCCUCGCCGACCGCCAUGUCACAUCUUACGGAAGAGGCGGGGGCUGCCGCGGAGAGGAUAUUUUUUGUUUUGUUUUGUUUUCACAAGCACACAUCCUCAGAUUUUUGGAACAUACUUACAUCUCGAAGAUAGCGCUCCAUCCAUUUAAUGAUAUCAAUACCCCGGAUUCUAUCCUCAAAUAUGUCAAUCUACAAGAAAAGGAUGCGCAAAAGAGCUCUUAAUGAGAGCUUUCUCCGAGUGCAGACCUCAAGAAAACACAAGAUCCUACAUACAUGUGCAACCCUAAAAGUAGUGCUCUCAAUAAGGAGGAACACGUGAGACCAAACAGAGAAGCAAAGAGUGUGGAAUGCAUCAGUUAAAAUCUCAAGAAACCCCGAGGCAGAGGAUUAAGAGAUACUGAAGAGAAGAUGAGUCUGUGUGCAUUUAUCUGUGCUUAGCCUGCUCCGAAUGGGAACUCAGCUCUCAAAUGAAGGUGUGUGUGGUAUGUGAUGGUGGAAGUAACCAGCAGCCAGGCAAAUGGCAGAGCGUGGCCCUUUUCCACCUCCAUGUGUAAUAAUUGCAGGACUCCCUUCCCAGACAAGACUGCUCACUCCUGCAGAAAAUGACCUUGUUCUUGAGAGCUGCUGCUAAUUUACAGUGAGGCACUAGGUUUCUACCCAGUGCCACGUGAGCAACCAAUCCAUCUACCCAGGGGCACGGCACUGACGAGCAGCAUCAUUUAGAAGGAAAGAAGUAUGGGUGGUGUUUGUUGUUUCCUGUGUGUUAAGGAAAAUCCAGUGAAAGUGACUGUGACCCUCCAACCUAGACUGUCUACUAGCUUUGACAAUGACCCCUGUCCUGCUAUUGAUGCACCAAGACUCAACACCUAGACCCACGAGAGUAGAUGCUCAGGAAAGAUUUGCUGACUGAACACAUGAUUGUGUCUACGCCUAGCAGUACUUUGUUGCGGGAUGGGCCCUGGCAGGGUUGGUAAAGCCCUCAUUUGUAGACAUGGAACCUCCCAGCUCCAGCCCUGCUAAGAACUGACAGAACUUGGCUAGCUCCAUGUUUUGUUCACGUGACUCUCAACCUGGUGUGGCCUGGACUCUAGUCCCUGCCUCAAGGAAAGUCCAGACUGACAUAGAAAAUCCCUGCUCACCAGCCUUGACCUUGGGAGAAAGCCCCUGACCUGUGAGUGGACAGAAGGCCUGGUGGUCAGCCCGUGGGAGCCCUGGAGCGUGCACUGCUGGAGCAGCUCAGAAAAAGCUGAGAAGCCAAGACUUGACUGUCAGUCCUGGAGAAUUAGAACAUGCCUGCUAAAUUUCAGUCCACUCUGAGGAAGGGGCAGUGCCCACAAGGAAACCUAGUGGGUGGGGUUCUGGCUGGGACUCAUCUGGAGUUCCCAGGGCAGAUGCCCGGCCCCAGCUUAUAGACCAUGAUGCGGCUGGGCUUCCGUGUCUGAUUCUUAAGUGCCUCAGGUAAACAGACUCUCCUUUGCUUUGCCAGGAGGAAUGACAUUACUAUCAGCAUUGUAAAAGUCUGUGGCCUUUGGGAGAGUAAUUUUACUUCUAAGACUCUCCUCUACAGAGAAGUGUGCACACUGUUCCCAGUGGAGUCUAUAAAGAUAGCAAAGAGCAAAGACUUAAAACAGAAUGGCUCUGGGUUUGAAGUGUUGUGUAUCUAGACAAUGAACAGCCCACCUUUAAACAAGCCCCACAUGGACUGAAGCGGAGGCAGCUCCAAAUGUAUUAGGUGACAGUGCCACAUGGCUCUGUGUGAUGGUAAGAUUAUAUGUGUACAUGUCAUCUCGAAAGGAGAAUUCGGCUUAUCUCUGGGGAGAGAGUCUGCAUCUUUUCUCAUUUGUACCGAGUAUGGAGUGUGUAUCUAUCUCUCUGUCAGAAAUGUCAAGGGAAGGGUUCACCAUUGACCUGAUGCUCACGAAGGUUAGGAACCAAUGCCAACCACAAUGCCCACCUCUACCUUCAGGAGACAGUAAACGCCUUAGAAUACAAAACCCAUAAACAACCAAGACUGUGGUGCCUGCUGGGGCUGGGCCUGAGCUGCACACAGAGGCUAGGUACCGAACAGCUGCCAUGGUAAACUGGCACAGUUAGGCACGCGGCCGGGUUCACACGCCCUCUGCCCUGACUUUAAAGACAGCAGUCUUGGCCCAGCUUCCCUCACCCCCUAUGUAUGAGCAGAGAGCUAUACUUGCUGGGUUUCCAGCUCUUGUAUUUGGACUCCUCUUCUCUUUUCUCUUUUUUGAGAGAGGGUCUCACUGUGUAUUCGUGGCUGCUCUGGAACUUCCUGGACCAGGCUGGCCUUGAUGUAGAUCUCUGCCUUCUAAAAAA
rnacentral:lncRNA from 1 species